UACGUAGGGGGCAAGCGUUGUCCGGAAUUAUUGGGCGUAAAGAGCGUGUAGGCGGUCCGGUAAGUCAGCUGUGAAAGUCAAGGGCUCAACCCUUGAAUGCCGGUUGAUACUGUCGGGCUAGAGUCCGGAAGAGGCGAGUGGAAUUCCCGGUGUAGCGGUGAAAUGCGCAGAUAUCGGGAGGAACACCAAUGGCGAAGGCAGCUCGCUGGGACGGCACUGACGCUGAGGCGCGAAAGCGUGGGGAGCGAACAGG
rnacentral:rRNA from 1 species